GGAGAGUUGGGUGAGCGGUCGAAACCAGUCCACUGCUAACGGACCAGGCCUUAACGGGCCUCGUGGGUUCAAAUCCCACACUCUCCG
rnacentral:tRNA from 1 species